UACGUAGGGGGCAAGCGUUGUCCGGAUUUAUUGGGCGUAAAGAGCUUGUAGGCGGUUUGUCGCGUCUGCCGUGAAAAUCCGGGGCUCAACCCCGGACUUGCGGUGGGUACGGGCAGACUAGAGUGUGGUAGGGGAGACUGGAAUUCCUGGUGCAGCGGUGAAAUGCGCAGAUAUCAGGAGGAACACCGAUGGCGAAGGCAGGUCUCUGGGCCACUACUGACGCUGAGAAGCGAAAGCGUGGGGAGCGAACAGG
rnacentral:rRNA from 1 species